rnacentral:rRNA from 1 species
CAGGACGAACGCUGGCGGCGUGCUUAACACAUGCAAGUCACGGGGGCCCGCAAGGGCAACCGGCGAACGGGUGCGUAACACGUGAGCAAGUUACCGAUUUCUGGGGGAUAGCCGGCCCAACGGCCGGGUAAUACCGCAUACGUUCACUGGACGGCAUCGUCCGGUGAGGAAACCUCCGGGGGAAAUCGAGACGCUCGCGGCCUAUCAGCUAGUUGGCGGGGUAACGGCCCACCAAGGCGAUGACGGGUAGCUGGUCUGAGAGGAUGGCCAGCCACAUUGGGACUGCGACACGGCCCAGACUCCUACGGGAGGCAGCAGUGGGGAAUAUUGCGCAAUGGACGAAAGUCUGACGCAGCGACGCCGCGUGUGGGAUGAAGCUCUUCGGGGUGUAAACCACUGUUGCCCGGGACGAAACCCUCCUUUCGAGGAGAUUGACGGUACCGGGUGAGGAAGCACCGGCUAACUCUGUGCCAGCAGCCGCGGUAAUACAGAGGGUGCGAGCGUUGUCCGGAAUCACUGGGCGUAAAGGGCGCGUAGGUGGCUUGGUAAGCGUGUGGUGAAAGUCCGGGGCUCAACCCCGGAUCUGCCGUGCGAACUGCUGAGCUUGAGCAUUGUAGAGGCAGGUGGAAUUCCGGGUGUAGCGGUGGAAUGCGUAGAGAUCCGGAAGAACACCAGUGGCGAAGGCGGCCUGCUGGGCAAUAGCUGACACUGAGGCGCGACAGCGUGGGGAGCAAACAGGAUUAGAUACCCUGGUAGUCCACGCCGUAAACGAUGGGUACUAGGUGUCUGGGGGAGCGACCCCCUGGGUGCCGGCGCUAACGCAUGAAGUACCCCGCCUGGGGAGUACGGCCGCAAGGCUGAAACUCAAAGGAAUUGACGGGGGCCCGCACAAGCGGUGGAGCAUGUGGUUUAAUUCGACGCAACGCGAAGAACCUUACCUAGGCUUGACAUGCUGGAGAAAGCUUGCGGAAACGUGAGCCCCUCUUCGGAGUUCCAGCACAGAUGCUGCAUGGCUGUCGUCAGCUCGUGUCGUGAGAUGUUGGGUUAAGUCCCGCAACGAGCGCAACCCUCACCCUUAGUUACCAGCGGGUAAAGCCGGGGACUCUAGGGGGACUGCCGGUGCCAAACCGGAGGAAGGUGGGGAUGACGUCAAGUCAUCAUGGCUCUUACGUCUAGGGCUACACACGUGCUACAAUGGGCCGGACAGAGGGUCGCCAACUCGCGAGAGUGCGCCAAUCCCCAAACCGGUCCUCAGUUCGGAUUGUAGUCUGCAACUCGACUACAUGAAGCUGGAAUCGCUAGUAAUCGUAGAUCAGCUACGCUACGGUGAAUACGUUCCCGGGCCUUGUACACACCGCCCGUCGCGCCAUGGAAGUUGUGAGCGCCCGAAGUCGGUGUCGGAACCCGCAAGGGACCAAGCCGCCUAAGGCGAG